UGGUUCUGGCAUCGAUGAAGAACGCAGCGAAAUGCGAUAAGUAAUGUGAAUUGCAGAAUUCAGUGAAUCAUCGAAUCUUUGAACGCACAUUGCGCCCUUUGGUAUUCCGAGGGGCACGCCUGUUCGAGCGUCAUUUAAACCAUCAAGCACCGCUUGGUAUUGGACGCGGUCAGAGGACCCGUCCGCAACCGGUUGGCGGUACCGUCCGGCUUCAAGCGUAUCAAACUUCUCGCUUUGGGGCUCGCGGCGGUGCCUGCCAGGCAACCCAAACCCAAAGUUUGACCUCGGAUCAGGUGGGGAUACCCGCUGA
rnacentral:misc_RNA from 1 species